rnacentral:rRNA from 1 species
GUGGCUAGGAGUGAAAGGCUAAUCAAGCCCGGAGAUAGCUGGUUCUCCCCGAAAGCUAUUUAGGUAGCGCCUCGUGAAUGAUUACUGGGGGUAGAGCACUGUUUCGGCUAGGGGGCUGUCAUGGCUUACCAAACCGAUGCAAACUCCGAAUACCGGCUAAUUGGAUCACGGGAGACACACGGCGGGUGCUAACGUCCGUCGUGGAGAGGGAAACAACCCAGACCGCCAGCUAAGGUCCCCAAGUACUAGUUAAGUGGGAAACGAUGUGGGAAGGCAUAGACAGCCAGGAGGUUGGCUUAGAAGCAGCCACCCUUUAAAGAAAGCGUAAUAGCUCACUGGUCGAGUCGGCCUGCGCGGAAGAUGUAACGGGGCUAAAACUAGUCACCGAAGCUGCGGAUGUGCGCGAAGGCGCACGUGGUAGGGGAGCGUUCUGUAGGCUGAUGAAGGUGCAUUGAGAGGUGUGCUGGAGGUAUCAGAAGUGCGAAUGCUGACAUGAGUAACGAUAAUGUGGGUGAAAAGCCCACACGCCGGAAGUCCCAGGUUUCCUGCACGACGUUAAUCGGAGCAGGGUGAGUCGGCCCCUAAGGCGAGGCUGAAGAGCGUAGUCGAUGGGAACCAGGUUAAUAUUCCUGGACUUUUUAUAAGUGGUGAAGUGGGGACGAAGAAGGCUAGGUGAGCCAGGCGUUGGUUGUCCUGGUACUUGCAUGUAGGGGGGAAGACUUGGCAAAUCCGGUUUUCCGAUACUCUGAGGUGCGAAGUGGUUCUGACCUUUUGGUACAGAGAAGUCAUUGAUGCCCGGCUUCCAGGAAAAGCUGCUAGCCAUAACUUAUAGAGAACCGUACCGCAAACCGACACAGGUGGACAGGUAGAGAAUACUAAGGCGCUUGAGAGAACUCGGGUGAAGGAACUAGGCAAAAUGGUACCGUAACUUCGGGAGAAGGUACGCCCUUUCUGGUGAUGGGAUUUACUUUCAGAGCUGGAGAGGGCCGCAGAGACCAGGUGGCUGCGACUGUUUAUUAAAAACACAGCACUCUGCAAAUUCGUAAGAAGACGUAUAGGGUGUGACGCCUGCCCGGUGCCGGAAGGUUAAUUGAUGGGGUUAUCUUCGGAGAAGCUCUUGAUCGAAGCCCCGGUAAACGGCGGCCGUAACUAUAACGGUCCUAAGGUAGCGAAAUUCCUUGUCGGGUAAGUUCCGACCUGCACGAAUGGCGUAACGAUGGCCACACUGUCUCCACCCGAGACUCAGUGAAAUUGAAAUCGCUGUGAAGAUGCAGUGUACCCGCGGCUAGACGGAAAGACCCCGUGAACCUUUACUAUAGUUUUGCACUGGACUUUGAUGAUGACUGUGUAGGAUAGGUGGGAGGCUGUGAAGUGAGGACGCUAGUUCUCAUGGAGCCGCCCUUGAAAUACCACCCUGUUGUUAUUGAGGUUCUAACUUGGUCCAGUAAUCCUGGAUGAGGACAGUGUAUGAUGGGUAGUUUGACUGGGGCGGUCUCCUCCCAAAGAGUAACGGAGGAGCACAAAGGUACCCUCGGUACGGUCGGACAUCGUACCAAGAGUGUAAAGGCAAAAGGGUGCUUGACUGCGAGAGUGACGGCUCGAGCAGGAACGAAAGUUGGUCUUAGUGAUCCGGUGGUUCUGAAUGGAAGGGCCAUCGCUCAACGGAUAAAAGGUACUCCGGGGAUAACAGGCUGAUACCGCCCAAGAGUUCAUAUCGACGGCGGUGUUUGGCACCUCGAUGUCGGCUCAUCACAUCCUGGGGCUGAAGCAGGUCCCAAGGGUAUGGCUGUUCGCCAUUUAAAGUGGUACGCGAGCUGGGUUUAGAACGUCGUGAGACAGUUCGGUCCCUAUCUGCCGUGGGCGUAGGAAAAUUGAGAGGAGCUGCUCCUAGUACGAGAGGACCGGAGUGGACGAACCUCUGGUGCACCGGUUGUCACGCCAGUGGCAUGGCCGGGUAGCUAAGUUCGGACGGGAUAACCGCUGAAAGCAUCUAAGCGGGAAGCCUCCCUCAAGAUGAGUUUUCCCAUGAAGCCCGUUGAAGACUACGACGUUGAUAGGCAAGGUGUGGAAGCGCAGUAAUGUGUGAAGCUAACUUGUACUAAUUGGCUGAUUGUCUUGACCAUAUAAUCUGAG